rnacentral:rRNA from 1 species
GAUGAACGCUAGCGGCAGGCUUAAUACAUGCAAGUCGAACGGCAGCACAGUGUAGCAAUACAUGGGUGGCGAGUGGCGCACGGGUGCGUAACACGUAUGCAAUUUGCCCAUAACUGGGGGAUAGCCCUCCGAAAGGAGGAUUAAUACCCCAUAAUAUAAUGAAGAGGCAUCUCUUUAUUAUUAAAUCUCCGGAGGUUAUGGAUAAGCAUGCGCCCGAUUAGCUAGUUGGCGAGGUAACGGCUCACCAAGGCAACGAUCGGUAGGGGGUCUGAGAGGAUGAUCCCCCAAACGGGUACUGAGACACGGACCCGACUCCUACGGGAGGCAGCAGUAAGGAAUAUUGGACAAUGGAGGCAACUCUGAUCCAGCCAUGCCGCGUGAAGGAUGAAGGCCCUACGGGUUGUAAACUUCUUUUCUCUUAGAAAAAACUUCUGGUUUCGUACCGGAACUGAUUGUACAAGAGGAAUAAGCAUCGGCUAACUUCGUGCCAGCCGCCGCAGUAAAAC